UGUGCCAGUGUUACCGUUGGCUGUGGUCACUAGCUGGCUGCGCAGUCUGUGCAUUCCACGGCGGGGCUCCAGCAAGGCGAAGCGCGUUGCUGGGGAGCGGAUGUAUGAGCCCCAGGUUUCUGACAUGGACAUUACUGAUGACGCCUCUGCUGAAAAAACCUCAUUAUCAUGGAGCAUCUUAAACUAAGAAAAAAAAGAUCAAAAAACAAAACAAAGCAAAAAAAGCCUGGAGAAGCAUAAAUAAAGCCCGGAGAUAAUACUCUCUUCUGCUCAUUUGCUAAGAGCAAAUUCUCACUGGGUCUGCUUUCCUUUGGGCCCAUUACAUAGAUAAGGUGGGCAAGAAAGGAUGGAUGAGAACAGAAAGUAAAGUGAGCAUGCAAGUCAGACUCUUGUUUGUGGGUGGUACUGAAUUCCCUGUCACAGCUUUGUGAAUUUAACAUUUCUCUUUUUGCUUUCAUCAAGAAAUUGAGAUGACAAUUUUAUUGCCCCGAAAAUUAUAAUAUUCAAUCUCUAGUCUGAACAUACCGCUCUUUCCCAGCAUUCAUCACGCUACCUGGUUGCCACUGUGACAUCAGCAGAGGUAACUGGCUGCAAACUUGGAUUUUGUGCUUUUCUUUUCAGAUAGCCCGGAGUGGAGAAACAUUUUUUUCAGGAGUGAUAAAUACAUGCUGGCAGCACAAUGUUGUUUCCUGGCACCAGGGAGACUCCGAGCUCCAGGAAACACGGGAGGCUUUAGGGGCUGAAGGAGUUCAUCUGCACAGACAGGCUUCCUGCUGGAAAAUCGGCCAAGUGGAGAGACGCUAACGAUGGGGUAUCUGGGCUGCCCAGGCUCUAUAGCUUUGAAGAGACACUUCUGGCCUCAGUGACAUGUCUCAUUUGUCACCAUUUUCCUUGGCUCCUAAACUAUCCCUUAGAGUACAACAACUACCAACCACCUAGUACUUGCAUUACAACAGAAAGACUGUGAAGCAGUAAAUCUGAGUCAUAGUCAUGACCUUGUUCAAAACUGUCAAAAGGUUACCAAGUUAACUAUAAAAUCAAGACAUUCUAUAUCUUAAGCUCUGUAAUUGAAUGUUUGUCCUACGAGGUUUCCCUCUGAACUCAGUGUAUUGUUGGCUUGUUGGUGGAUUCUAGAGCCAGAGGAGCUGGGUUUGAAUAAACACUGCACCACGUAUGAGGUCACUAAUGUAACCUUAA